AGCCUGAACGCUGGCGGCGUGGCUAAGACAUGCAAGUCGAACGGGUGUAGCAAUACACCAGUGGCGGACGGGUGAGUAAUGAAUCGCUAAUGUACCCCGGAGCCAGGGAUAGCUGCCCGAAAGGGCAGGUAAUACCUGAUGAGACCACAGUACCGCAUGGUACGGUGCUCAAAGCCGCAAGGCACUCUGGGAGCAGGCGAUUUUGUAUCAGCUAGUUGGUGAGGUAAUGGCUCACCAAGGCGACGACGCAUAGCCGGACUGAGAGGUUGGCCGGCCACAUUGGGACUGAGACACUGCCCAGACUCCUACGGGGGGCUGCAGUAACGAAUCUUCCGCAAUGCACGAAAGUGUGACGGAGCGACGCCGCGUGUAGGACGAAGCCCUUCGGGGUGUAAACUACUGUCAGGGGAAAGAAGUUCUGAUCUACCCCAGAGGAAGAGACGGCUAACUCUGUGCCAGCAGCCGCGGU
rnacentral:rRNA from 1 species